GAGUUUGAUCUUGGCUCAGAUUGAACGCUGGCGGCAUGCCUUACACAUGCAAGUCGAACGGCAGCACGGGAGCUUGCUCCUGGUGGCGAGUGGCGAACGGGUGAGUAAUGCAUCGGAACGUAUCCUGGAGGUGGGGGAUAACGUAGCGAAAGUUACGCUAAUACCGCAUAUUCUGUGAGCAGGAAAGCGGGGGACCUUCGGGCCUCGCGCUCUUGGAGCGGCCGAUGUCGGAUUAGCUAGUUGGUGAGGUAAAGGCUCACCAAGGCGACGAUCCGUAACUGGUCUGAGAGGAUGAUCUGCCACACUGGAACUGAGACACGGUCCAGACUCC
rnacentral:rRNA from 1 species